rnacentral:sRNA from 3 species
CAGGUUCGAAUCCUGCACGACCCACCAAUAUACAAGGUGGUAACUGGUAGAGAACGUGAAGGUUAACGUUGCUUUAGCAACGGCCCGAAGGGCGAGGCGAAGCCGAGUCAUCCUGCACGACCCACCA